rnacentral:rRNA from 1 species
GACGAACGCUGGCGGCGUGCCUAAUACAUGCAAGUAGAACGCUGAAGAGAGGAGCUUGCUCUUCUUGGAUGAGUUGCGAACGGGUGAGUAACGCGUAGGUAACCUGCCUGGUAGCGGGGGAUAACUAUUGGAAACGAUAGCUAAUACCGCAUAAAAUGGAUUAUCGCAUGAUAAUCCAUUGAAAGGUGCAAAUGCAUCACUACCAGAUGGACCUGCGUUGUAUUAGCUAGUUGGUGGGGUAACGGCUCACCAAGGCGACGAUACAUAGCCGACCUGAGAGGGUGAUCGGCCACACUUGGACUGAGACACGGCCCAGACUCCUACGGGAAGCAGCAGUAGGGGAUCUUCGGCAAUGGACGGAAGGCUGAACGAGCAACGCCGCGGGAGUGAAGAAGGGUUUCGGAUCGUAAAGCUCUGUUGUAAGAGAAGAACGAGUGUGAGAGUGGAAAGUUCACACUGUGACGGUAUCUUACCAGAAAGGGACGGCUAACUACGUG